GAGCGGCCUUUGUGCAUUCAAUUUUUGAAUUCCCUUUGCUCAUCCCAAUUACUCAUCCCAAGACACCCAUUACAUUGUUUUCUCAUUAUCAACUUUUCUUUCACUAUUCUUUCAUCUACUGACCUAAGAGCAUUCAUAUCCAGCUCUCUAAAAAUAUAUAUACAUUCCACUAAAAAACAACUCCUAUAUCAAUAUAUAUCCAGUAGAAACAAAUAUUUUUUCUCUCUCCUUUUCAAUUAAAUAAUAUUUUUAUACCUUCAUCAUUACAUUUUUCUCUGUACUUCACUCACAACCACUUUCAAUAUAUAUUAAAAAUUAUAGUGGGUGAACAGUGUCCCCCAAAUAUACAGAUCAGAUGAACAAUAACAUUUUCUCUCUCCUCAACUCACCACUUUUUAUACUCUUUAUAUUUUAAAAACCCCACACACAAAUUUUGAUUCUCAGUAUGUGAAUGCUCUAAAACGCAAAAUUAGUCAGAUCUUGAAGGAUUUUGGAGCUGAAAUCACUUUUAGGGGGCUACAAUCAAAUGAACAAGAGGCUGAGAGGUAUUGGUUUUGUCAUAAUCGAAAGAAGGAUGAAGGGGCAGUGAUGAACUGGGUUUUGAUAGGAGUUUCAAGGGUAAGUUUUUGAGUGUUCUUUUGCUUAUUGGCUCUAAAGAAAUUACGGUAGAGAGAGAGAGGCACGAAAGAGAUACGGCGGCGGCGUUUAGGGUUCCGCCGCAAACACAACGACGGUGGCGACUGUGGUUGACGUCGCAAGCUCCGGUUCCGGCAAGAGAAGAAUUGUCUGAUGCUUUUUCAACAGAAAUCGGUGGUAGUAUCAGGUGAGGUUGAUAAUUUUCCGGCAAUCGUCAAGGUUGAUGAUUUUGAUGAUGUCACGCAUUGCAUCACGUUCUCCUUCUAUCUUUCCCUUUACAUGUGGGUUCUCCUUUCCAUCUUCAUUUGACACACACUUCAAAUCUGGAGGGUGGAGAGAGACAUAGCAGAAUACAGGGCACGACUCAAAACGGACCGUGUAUUGAAUGGCGGUCGUGGAGACAGACCAUGGAUCUAACAACGUAGAACUAUAACUGGCGAGGGAAGAGAAGUUUUAAUCCGAACUCUAACGGCGAUUGCAAGGCAUGCAGUGGUAACAAAUGUGAUUUUGCUGGUUUUAAUUCAUGGCAACGAAGAUGGCUUCAUGCAUAUUAGUGUUCUGUUUCGUUUCUCCGACAAAUAUAAAGGACCAAAUUACUCGAUCCGGUGAACAAACAGAUAUAAAGGACCUAAUGACUUGAUCCGAUGAACAGGUGAUGCUGGCGCCAACUAAACUCAGGGUUCAAUCCGAAUUUGCUGACAACUCAAGUCUAAAAAAUAUGAGGAAAGAGUUGCAGAUUGAGAUGGCUAAACUAUCUGAGACCCAAUAUUAAACAUGGUCAAUUCACUGCUGAUGAAGACAAGAUGAUCUGCAGUUUGUAUGCUAAUUUUGGUAGCAGUUGGAGGAGGGCCCACUGUUGUGGAACUCGCGGAUGAAGUUGCAGAUUGUGAAAAGAAUCCAAUAUUCUAAUACAAUAUCAGUAGAUGGUUCAUUGUUUGGAUGAUCAUGAACGAUUAAUGGUUGAUGAGAAUUUAUAGGUCAGGGUUUUUGCUAAUAUUUUUGCAAUUGGAGAUGUUACCUACGUUCCUAUGUGGUACAUUGAGGUUUCUUACACAUUUUCUUCGGCCAUGUAUUUAACGGGUCAAACGGGUCAGAGUCACUCAAUGCGUAUCUAUAAGGAAUAAGGUCGUCUAAAUGGUUUUAUUCAAGAGUAUUACUAGCAUAAUGUCCAUCUUCUUGAUAGAGAAUGAAGCGGGAAUGCGGGAUUAUUCUAAUGGGCUGAUCAAAAGAGGGCAUAUCUCAUCUGCAUUGGUCGUUUAGUGACAUCAAUAGAAGAAAAUUUUCAUUUAAGGCAGGGAAUGAUGCAUGUUAUCAAAGGUACUGGGCACUUGUCAUAGGUUCUCCAAAGGAAAAAGGAGGGCUUAAUUUGUGUCCCUCUUAUAAAGGUCUUAUCACUAGCCGAUCACGUUAUUGAGGAACAAGUAAUAUCUCGAAGUGAUUUGCGACAAUUAUUCAAGAAAACGUCAUUUUGGGUUUACUCGAUGCAUCCAUGGUUAAAAUUUAGAGAAGUAGCUUGUGUGCCCACUUUUCAAUGCGUAUAAUACUCAGGGUCACAUGUACAUGUAUCUCAAUCAGUUGAUCUUCAUUAUCCUCAUGCACUUGAUUUUUUCAAAGAGGAUUGUAUUCACAUAUAUGUAAGUUUUUUUUAAACCCUUUUUUAAUUAGUAGUUUAUAGAAGUGUCGAGGCUCGGUUAAUUUGGGUUUUGUUUUGCGUCAAAUAAAAAUUAGAUAAUAAAGAGGCCAAUUCUAUCCCAUGCACUUGAUUUUUUUAGACAACGUCCUGCUCACGUAUCUGUAAGGUUUCUUUUAAGACUUCUUUUCUUAAUUAGUAGUUCAUACAAGUGUCGAGUGUUUGAUUUUACAACUUAUUUACUCAAUACUAUCGAUUCGGGCCAUGUUUUCUAUCAAACAUAUAAUUGAGUUAAAACGGGGUCCAAUUCGUAUUUUAAUGCAUGAAUUUGUUAUUUACCCAUGUACGAUUGGUUUUAAUUUUUCAAUAGACUCAAGGAAGUAUUUACCCAUGUUUAAGUAUUACUAAAUCUGUAUAACUCUUUUAUAGAUAACACAUGUAUUAUGUAUUACUUUUUUUAUGAUUUUAAUUAAGAUGUUAAUCAUAAAAUUAUAAUAUAGUUUCUGAUGCUAUAUUAUGCAUUUAAUUAAUGACUGUGAAAGUAUGAACAUAAUUUGUUUGUAUGAUUUCAAGUAUUAACUUGUGACCCCAAGACUCUCGAAUAUUUCACCGAGUGUGGUCACUGCUCUAGGAAGUGAAAUGUCGGGUGUAUUCAAGAUGCCAUACGGGAUGCCACCCCAACUUGAUUUGACGUGCACAAUACUUGAACCCUUUUGUAAGCAUAGAUGUUCACAUUAAGUUAUUUAUUUCAAUAAGAUAAUUCAAUUCAGUGUAAUUUUAUUUACGUUAGCACUUGAAUGUGUCUUUCAUUAAAUGGUUUAUGUCAACACUGUAACACUUCGUGUUUCGAAAGUCAAAGUCAAAGUCAAGAUUGAAGUAAAAGGAAGAAAAGAUUGCUAAUUGCGAUCUGUCACUCCUUGCUCAACUACUGUUUUGACUUCUUUGACUUGUAGAUAAUCUAUUUAUUUUAUUGCAUUAGUUGUAUUAUGUGGAGUACUUAUUAAUAAUCGAGGUUUAAUCGCUAUUUGUCGCAUGCUUUAUCGCUUACCGCAUCGCUAUCACAUUUGCAACUCGAAUUAUGCGUUCUGGAUAUUGUUUUACGUGUGUGUGCUACUUAUUUGUUACUUGUGCAUAUUUAUUAUGUUAUGUUGUGGUAAUUAAUCAAAACGCAAUCGCAACGCUAUCGCAAUCGAUUCGCAAACGCUAAAUGCAAGAUAUUUAGGAUGAUUGUAUGUUAGAUAUAGUAGUUGGGAUUAAUGAGAAACUCUAUCGCAUCGCAAAACCCAACACGCGAAUCGAAACAUCAAAACCCGUCGCGUCGAACACUCGAAUCGAGUGGCUGACCGAUCGAGUGGCCAACCGAUCGAGUCGCCACUCGAUCGAGUUGCCACCUGAUCGGGCUGCCACCCGAUCGACCAGCCACUUUCCCCACUUUCCUUUUUGGGAAACCCUAUAAAUACCCUUAAACUAUCACAUCACUUGAUGUGACAGCCUCUCACUCGACCAGCCCGCUUCAGCCUCUACUUUCUUGAUCUACACGCACUGCUACACCUUUCUCUCUUUUGAAUCUUAACUUUUAACCGUGAAAUCACUAGAUUUGAGGU